GUCUUAGUUACAGUUCAGCUUGAUCUCAUCAGAUGGGUGAGAUUGGACUCCAGAUCCCUGCUGUAUGUACGUCCAGUGUCCAGGUUUUCUUCCAGCUGCAGAAGCUGAAUGGGCGCUGCAGACACACACACACACACACACACACACACACACACAGGAGCUGGUGUGGAGGAGAACAGAAAUACAGGUUACUUGCGAGGUAACCUUGCUACAUGCCAGCACUAGAGAUGCAGCAAAGAAUUAACCAAGCCACAUCAGGGGCCAAGCACCCAAUCCAUCAAACUAAACUGGUCACAUCGAUUGUUUAGCAUUGAUCUGGAAGGCUUCAUAGACUGCCAGUCUCUUGUGCAGUUUCUACAGCAUCACCCCCUCUCUGAAAGCAUCUCAUCACUUGCUCCACCAGUCUCACACCAGGGCAACUUGGUCAAGUCCAACUGAACCACUUCACCUCUCAUUGUUUAGCCAAUGUCGACUGCCACUCAACCCUCACACCAGAAUGGAGGUGUUGGUUUUCCAUACAACGAGGAAAAAUUCAUUUCAGGUGGGGUGAACAGGAAUUCAGCAAUAAUUGGAGGCAUUAUUGCUGUGGUGAUCUUCACCAUCCUGUGCACGUUGGUGUUCCUGAUCCGUUAUAUGAUUCGCCACAAGAGAACACAUCAAACCAACGAGUCCAAAGAGGAAGAGCACUCCGAAUCGGCCGAUACGACUACCGUCGCCACUGAGCCAAAUUUCACAGAGACCAUUGAUGAAAGCAAGAAGGAAUGGUUCAUAUAACAGAAUGAGGACUACAUCACUUAGAAAAAAGAUCAAUACAUAUCCCUCCUCCCAUUCUUCUCCCUACUGUAUGCAUAUCUGUCUGUCUCUGUCUCUGUCUCUGUCUCCCUCUGUCAGGGAGUCCAGCUUCAAUGUUUCAAAAAGUGCAGCUAUUUACUAUGUGCAUGAUAGAGCCAGUGGGGUGGGUGAGAAUGUGGACCGCAGUGAGAUCAAUGAUUGUAGGCCUGGCCAACUUCAGUUUCUUAUGGGGAAAGAUGAAUGGGAAUAUAAGACUGAAAAAGAAUCCUAUAUGAUGGAACUUAUCCAAGGUGUUCUCUGACCUCUUUGGAAAUCCAGAAACAAAAUCAUAUCCAGUGGCCAUCCAUAACUGUUGAGAUUUUGAUGAAAGCAACAUAAUAACCAACAAUAAAAGUGUUGCCUUUAUGAUCCAAGCCAGUCAAACAUUGCUAAAAAGCAAUUUUUUGGGAACUCGAGAGACAUUAGGCCAGAUCAGUGCAGGAAGAAAUAGCAGAGGUGGUCACUCACAAUGCGGCUAAAUCCAAUCAACAAAAGCACAAAAUUUAUUUCCGCUUUUACAGUUUGUACAUGAAUCAAUUUUACAAUCACUUUUUUAUUUUUAGAUGAUCAGGGCCAUCACAUCACCAGUCAUGGUACAUUCACUAAUUAAAAGCUAAACCUAAUAACGCCUGUGGAGAGUUUUUACAGACUAAAAAUUGCAUCGCUAUCAAUAUUCUUCACCGAUCUUUUUCUGAUGGACACUGUAAUGGAAAUUAAUUAUUAUAUAUAUAUAUAUAUAUGGCACAAAAACACUCCUUAGGUCAUCGCAUGUGAGCACAAGAUCUCAGUAUAAUAGGUUUAGGGGUAGUUUCAUUUUGUAAUAUGGAACCAAGGCUACUAAACAUUUACAACAAUACAUUAGAUGUGUUGCAUUGUUUGUUUUUUCAUGACAUUAUAAAAUUUAUUUCGUAUAAAUGUCAUCAUUAGGUUAAAAAAAAAAAAAGGCCCGAUUCCUUGAACGUGAUGUUUAAGAUCAAUUAAAAUUUUUUUUUUUCUCGGGCUUGUACCGGCCGGUUAGCUCAGUUGGUUAGAGCGUGGUGCUAAUAACGCCAAGGUCGCGGGUUCGAUCCCCGUACGGGCCAGUAUGUUUUGUUUUUAUUGUUUAAAUCAAUUUUAAUGUUGUCUGCCUCUGUGCAAAAAAAAAAAAAAGAAAAUGUGUUAACUAAGAGAAGAAAACAGUGCAGGAGGAUUGGGGUGGGUUUAGAAGAGUUGCAGUAGUGAUUUGGAUAAAAUGUAUCUGCAAGACUGAAAGGAAAAGUUGUGGGAAAGGACUGUGGUAAGACCUGCUAUGUUGUAGGUUUAGAGACAGUAGCAUUGACUAAAAGGGUGAUAUGGAGACAGAUGAUCAGCUGUGGUGACUCCUUCAAAUCACACCUCAUGACAAGUCAAAGGAAAGAACUUGCUGCUAUCAUGGGGCAUUUAAACGCAAGAACUAAAUCAGCUCUUCUAAUUGAUGGGCAUCUGUAAAUACCUGUGCUGCAUGUGCAGGAAUAAAUUGUGCAGCUUCUGUGCUACAUGUCUCUGCCAAUCCUCUGACUUAAAUCAUUUCAGCUUUUGUCAGUUGUCAGAAGGUUUCUUGUGAGUAAGAUUAUUAAGUUGCAUUAUGUUACAGUAAAAUCUGGGUCUUUGGAGGCUUUUUUCAAUUUCUUGAAAAUACAACCUCUUUAGUUCAGACCCUAUGAAGAAAAAACUAUUAGGAAAACCUCCAUAACCCUGAUCAGUGGUAAAACAACAACAGACAAACAACAUGUUUAACGGCCAAUCAAAUUGUAUUGAUGAAUUCACCUAAAGAUUUAUUUUCAAAUUGUGCAAUAGAUUUAUUGGGACAUUCUUAUAAUCUUCAGGUUGGCUUUGUUAAUAUGUUUAUUCCCGAUUUUGACCUCAAUUUCAUCCAGGUUUCCAGUCUCUGUUUAUUAAAAGCAUUUUUGGUUUCAUCCCACUCGAAAACCUCUUUUACGUGUUUGCAGAGUGUUUUACACGCAAUGUCGUUUGGCUCACCACUCUUCCAUAAAGCCCAGCUUUUUGGAGCAUUCAGUCUAUCAUUCUCAUGCAAACAACAUCUCCCUAACCUGAGCUGCAGACCUCGCAAACAGCUUUAGAGCUACUCUUGGAUUCUGGCUUACUUCCCUAAAUAAUGUCCUCCUUACCUGUUUCUUUUUACCCUGAUUUCUUUUAAAACAGGCUGUCCAUAACCAAAGCCCAAAUCAUAUUAUUCAAAGAUUUUUGGUAUCCAUGAUGCUGUCUUUUUAAGUAUGUUGUCAAAAAACACUGGAGACUUCCAAGAACGUGUCUUUAUACUGAGAUCUUGUGACAAUUCACUUACACACAGGUUUUUUUCUGCUAAUUGUAGUACAUACACAUUUGGUUUAAGGUUAUUUCCAGGUUUCUUUCUGGCAACUUUGAGUGCUCCUGUAGUAUUCUUUUACUGUGUGGCACUAUGAAAAUGAAUAAAAAGCUUGUAAAUGGGACAUGUGAAAAACAUCUGCACUGCAAAUACAGGCAUUAAUUGUGCAGAAGAGUUUUCUACCAUCUAAGUUUAGUCCUCUCAGCUAUUGCUAUCUGCCAGCAAGACUACUAUGGUGUGUGCCAGUAAUGUCUGGGUGUUUGUAAGCUUCUUUUCCAUUUCUUGAAAAUGCAACAGUUUCCUUUUAGGGUUCUUUUCCACUUAGGGAGUCUUGGUAGCCAGUUCAGCUUUUCUCUCUGCAAUGAUGACCUUGAUCAUGAGUAAAAACAGGGAAUUAUGUGAAUUCCAAUAUCAGUGUGUGCCAGAACUAAUUUGAGGAUUUCAAAACUUUGUACUAAACAGUACACAAAAACUAAUUAAAGGAAGGUGUAUAUUUAUGUCUGGUGGAAAGAUCGAAAAUGCAAUACAAUAAAUAAAAAAGUAUUAAAAACAGCUUUGUCUAGUUUUUAAUGCAUUUCUAUGUUGCUGCUGAAUUAAAGCCCAAAAACAUGAAAUUUUUUAUCUAAAUCAUUUUUUUUUUCCUUUCAUUUUUUUUCUUUAAACAACAACAAUUUAACAACUUGUAGAGUUGUAAUUAUGUGUAAUUCUCAUGACUGUGAGACAGAAAAAAUGCAACACAAUGGUAUUCUAACAGGACUCCUUUUGCUGACUGUUGCAUAAAUAAACUGGUUCAUGUUCUGA